GGGAGUUAAAAUGGAUGAAUAUGGCUUUGUGCAUUUGAAUUUGAUAAGUCAAAAAAAGUAAUUGGAGUGCCUCGAUCUGCUCAAAAAAGUGAUACUAGUCCGUUUGAAUCUAGAAAAGCAAAAAAAGUGUUUGAAGUGGCUCAAGGUGCUAAGGAAACUGAAACUAGUCUGUUUGAAUUUGACAAGGCUAAAAAAGUGACUGAAGUGUCUCG